rnacentral:lncRNA from 1 species
AUCUUAAAUUAUGUUAACUGGCAAAAAAAAAAAAAAAAGAAAGUGGAUUUGUUAAGGAUUUUUUUUAUUUAACUUUAGACAAAUUAAAGAAGAAACAAGAACGGCCUUUCAAUUUUUCAACUGUCUUUGUUGAUAUAUGUCUGCAUGAAAGUUGUUUAAGCAGUAGGUAGUUGGAUAGGUUUUUGACAUGAGAAGGGGGGGGGGGGGGAGAAGGGUAGUUGGCCGGGGGGGGGGUGAGAAGGGUAGUGACACGAUUUUUUAAUUGCCUUUGACAAUUUAUUAAUUGUCUUCAACAAUGUACUAAUUUUUUUUUAUUUUCUAGGUUUCUUGGGUUAAAAAAAUUUUGUGCAGUUUUCAAUGUUUUUGUUUAGACUUUGGUAGAAAGUUUGUAAAGAACAAGAAGGUGUCACUGAUUACAUAAAUGGCAAGGCAUCAAGUUCAUUGUCAUACAGCAGUUCACGUCAUGCAAUAUACAUCGGAUUAUUUAGAUUUUUUAUGUUUUUUACUUAAAAGCACAAUACAUCUUAUGUUUUCAUUUUGCUUCUAUUAGCUGUGAACAGAUUUAGAAGGUUACUGUGUUCCUAUGACUUGAUUGAUUCUAAAUUCUGAUCUUUUAUUAAUACUUCAUUCGGCUUCUUUUCUUUUCACAUUAACCUUUAAGCCAUUUAUAUUAAGUACCAAAAUUGAUGUUUUGGUAACGGGUUGGCCAUUCUUUUGUUUACAGAAGAUCAGCCAAGAUUUGAUCUUGCCUAUUUUCAAGUUUUUAAAUGUUAUCAUAUCAUCGAAUGUUUUUUUUUUUUUUGCAUUUUUGAAUUAUUAAUCACUGAAAUAGAUGUUUAAAUUUACAUUAUAAGACUAUUUUUGAAUAACAAUGUGCACAUAGUAAUAUAUUUAAGAAAGGUUAUAAUAGAUCAUACAAUAAGUUUGAAUGUUAUGCAAAUAUUUUUAUGAACUACACUAAAUAAUUUAUUAUUUUUAAACAACUCCCAUUCAACGAAUGGGUACAAAACUAGUUAAAGAAGAAACAAGAACCGCCUUUCAAUUUUUCAACUGUCUUUGUUGAUAUAUGUCUGCAUGAAAGUUGUUUAAGCAGUAGGUAGUUGGAUAGGUUUUUGACAUGAGAAUUAAAUCUAAGAUAAUUCAGUGACUAAAAGGCAUUAUCUAAUCAUGUCAACAAAGAAGACAUUUUGUUUUGGUUGGGGCCCCCGCAAGCGAAGGAUGUUUUUUACGAUACUCCAUAAUUCAUCUCGAAAAUGAGAAGUGAUAUUUUGGAGCACUUACUUGUAAUGGGAUGGAGAAACUCCAAGAAAGAAAACGGUGGUUUUAGCAGGAUCUACAUUUGUGUCCACCCAUUUAGCCCAUGUCUCAAGUGCGGUCUCAAAAGCCACCAUCCGGUCCAUGUCUUUCAAGAGCCUUGUUCCUAUCUGAAUAUAUUUCCACCUGCACAUUCAACAGUUAUUCAAGAAUUCAAUUGCUUGAAGAAUUCUUGAGCUUGGCUCGCAAAUACAGUAUGGAAAGAAAGAUUAUCAAAAUUGUUGGGACAUGAACUAACGGUUGUUGAGCUCCUUUGUAGCCCCACCAAUGCCAUGUAUUGAAGGCAAGCAGGUCAUGACCUGACCAUAGCUUUUCACUUCCUGCAACUGAAUCUAGUUUUAGAACUACACCGAUCUUUUCUGGCACCAGAUCCACCAGAAAGGCAUUUCUAUCAAGGAUCAGUGUGAGUCCAUAGUCCUGUGACAACAUACAAUUGAAAAUUAUAAUUGAUGCGGCAGAAUUAGUAGUUCAAGUUGUUGCAGGAACAGGUACUUUCUGAAGUUGGAUUGAAUUUUUUAGUACAGUUCAGGUGAUCUAAAACUGGUUAAGGUCUGGUUAGUUUCAAUUCGAUCUAAAACUGGUCGUCAAAUCCGAUAAAAUUAUGUCAACGAUGAUUGAAUUAUUGUUGGACCAUCAUGUUAGAUAAGGGAUCAUUAUCAUUGUUGAUUUUCACGAAGCUAGCUACAGGUUGUUCAGCAUAGAAUAGAGAUCAAAGUUUUUGCUAGGUGAAAAAUCUGCCUAAAGUUUCAGAUGCAGGAUUGCACUAGUAAAAGAAAGGGACUGCAGGAGGACCACCUUAACAAUUUUCGCCUAACCAGGACAAAGUUGGCUUGAAGCAACUUGCCAACUUGGUUGGUUGAUUCGUUGUUACACGCUUCUUGCUUGUAUCUUUGUUUUCCCAAUCAUUAUCCACUAGUUGGAGAAUUAGAGGUCCACACUUCAAAACUUUUCAAUUCAGAUUUUCAAUCAUGUAUUCAUUUGUUUAUAUUAGUGGAUAAUGACAUUCAUUUGCGGACUGCAGGCCAAGAGAUUAAGCUUACCAAGAAUUUCAAGGUGGAGAUUAGGCCUACUCUUGUCAUGUUGUAAUUUGUCCCCGGCACGCUAGUGUAGAGCAAGCAGGCCAGGGACAUAUACUGAUCACGGGUCAGAGAAUCGCCUGCAAACAAAAUGCUCUUUCCCCUGAACUUUUGCAAGAAUGCACGGCCGUCAAAUCUGCAUGAGACCAGCAACGCUUUCACACAUUGGGGUUUUAGUAUUUUUCGAGUAGCAGAUUAUAAAGAGUUGAUGGAGUAAAUACCCUGGUAAUCACUCGAGGAGAGAAAAGGGAUUAUGGGCAAUCGAAUAUGUUAAUAAGUUAGUUAAUUAACAUAAUAACAUUUAAAUGGUUGAGUCAGACUGUAGAGAAAAAUGAUGAAGCAACAAAUGACAAUACCACCAAAUCUUUAAGGUGUUCUUUACCAAAAAAAAAAAAUUAUAAAAGAAAAAGAAAACCAAGUCUUUAAGGUGUGUAGGCUUCUGAGCAACGAACAGCUUUAUCUAAUUUUCGUUUCUUUUCUUUUCUUUUUUUCACAGAACAGCUUCGAUUCCGAACAGUGCACGAAUUUUUAUUGUUUUGGAUUCAUGUAGUUUAGUCAUUAGUGAACUUCUUUGAGAAAAUAAAGCAGCAAUCUUUGUUUUUGGUACGGUAUAUAUAGUGGCAAUCAUUGGUAUAUAUGGAUCUUAGAUUCCUUGUCUGGGAAUCUUAUGUCCCGCAAAUUACAAUGAAGUUUGUAUCUUAUUUACAUGAUUAAUUAAGGUUGGUUAUGGUUUCAGCUACCCCUCUUAAUCUCGCUUGAAGUGAGUUAAUUGUUCUUGAUUAGGUAUCCAACGAAAAUCACCGUCGGAGAAAGCCACUGAAAGUGGCAAGCCAGGUGUAGUGGCCGGUAGGAGGCAAGGUUUGAUUCUUUAAUCUCACCAACAGCCCAAGUGAGAGAAUUUUGUAUGGUACUUGUUUUCUACUAUUUGGUGUGAAAUCCAUGAUUAAUUCUGAUAUCUUUUUUUUGCUUUCUUUUCUGUAUAUCAAUAAAGAAGAUUAUAUAGUAAUUGAUUCCAGGUAUCAGGCAGUCCAGCUAUACACCAGUGGGUGCAGUCAGCAGCAGCAGUUGCAGCGCCAUAAAAGGACGGAUGUGCAUCUACACGGAAUUGAGAAAGGGUGGUUAUAUCCAGCAAUUUCACAGGAACCCUCAUCUCGCUCAAUACUUUCUUCUGCACUGCUAAAGCUGGUGGCAAUACUCCUGGAUAUGUUGGCCCGGGCACCGGCCGAGUUUGCCCAGCACAGUUUUUCACUUGAGGUUGGUUCCAAUCACUCCCCCUGUUGUUCACCAGUUAAAGAAUGAAGUGAAAUGGGGGAAGACAUAGAGAGAAAGAUACAGCAUCGGAUUGUAAUUGCACACAUUCAUACUAUAGGUUAUGUAACAUUCACAAUGAAAAAGGCAAAAGUAAUAUCAAUUUAGUGCAGUUGUUAAUGUUGAGAUACUAAAAAUUAGAGUUCUGGGUUUAAUUUCUUCCUCCUCCUCCUCCUCCCCCUUCUCCACACUUUUUUUUUUUUUAAAAGGUACAUGAUCACGAAUCACCUCUUUUUGUAUAGAGGACUUUACAGUGGAUAGAAGAUUUUUUCGGAAUAAGAGUAUAGUAUUUUUCUUUUUGUGUGUGAGAUAAAAAGAUAUUUGAAAAAAUAUUAAUGUGAUAAAAAAUAGAGUAUCCUAUAGUAGGUGUUUCUAUAUUCUUUUCUUUUUUGAUCUUAAAUUAUGUUAACUGGCAAAAAAAAAAAAAAAGAAAGUGGAUUUGUUAAGGAUUUUUUUUAUUUAACUUUAGACAAAUUAAAGAAGAAACAAGAACGGCCUUUCAAUUUUUCAACUGUCUUUGUUGAUAUAUGUCUGCAUGAAAGUUGUUUAAGCAGUAGGUAGUUGGAUAGGUUUUUGACAUGAGAAGGGGGGGGGGGGGGAGAAGGGUAGUUGGCCGGGGGGGGGGUGAGAAGGGUAGUGACACGAUUUUUUAAUUGCCUUUGACAAUUUAUUAAUUGUCUUCAACAAUGUACUAAUUUUUUUUUAUUUUCUAGGUUUCUUGGGUUAAAAAAAUUUUGUGCAGUUUUCAAUGUUUUUGUUUAGACUUUGGUAGAAAGUUUGUAAAGAACAAGAAGGUGUCACUGAUUACAUAAAUGGCAAGGCAUCAAGUUCAUUGUCAUACAGCAGUUCACGUCAUGCAAUAUACAUCGGAUUAUUUAGAUUUUUUAUGUUUUUUACUUAAAAGCACAAUACAUCUUAUGUUUUCAUUUUGCUUCUAUUAGCUGUGAACAGAUUUAGAAGGUUACUGUGUUCCUAUGACUUGAUUGAUUCUAAAUUCUGAUCUUUUAUUAAUACUUCAUUCGGCUUCUUUUCUUUUCACAUUAACCUUUAAGCCAUUUAUAUUAAGUACCAAAAUUGAUGUUUUGGUAACGGGUUGGCCAUUCUUUUGUUUACAGAAGAUCAGCCAAGAUUUGAUCUUGCCUAUUUUCAAGUUUUUAAAUGUUAUCAUAUCAUCGAAUGUUUUUUUUUUUUUUGCAUUUUUGAAUUAUUAAUCACUGAAAUAGAUGUUUAAAUUUACAUUAUAAGACUAUUUUUGAAUAACAAUGUGCACAUAGUAAUAUAUUUAAGAAAGGUUAUAAUAGAUCAUACAAUAAGUUUGAAUGUUAUGCAAAUAUUUUUAUGAACUACACUAAAUAAUUUAUUAUUUUUAAACAACUCCCAUUCAACGAAUGGGUACAAAACUAGUUAAAGAAGAAACAAGAACCGCCUUUCAAUUUUUCAACUGUCUUUGUUGAUAUAUGUCUGCAUGAAAGUUGUUUAAGCAGUAGGUAGUUGGAUAGGUUUUUGACAUGAGAAUUAAAUCUAAGAUAAUUCAGUGACUAAAAGGCAUUAUCUAAUCAUGUCAACAAAGAAGACAUUUUGUUUUGGUUGGGGCCCCCGCAAGCGAAGGAUGUUUUUUACGAUACUCCAUAAUUCAUCUCGAAAAUGAGAAGUGAUAUUUUGGAGCACUUACUUGUAAUGGG